rfam:Magnetospira sp. QH-2 chromosome, complete genome
CACCUGAGCGGGGGGAGCCGACCAGUCGGCUGAGAGGUCUUCAACGGGAAGACGACCCCUAGAACCUGAUCCGGUUGAGACCGGCGUAGGGACGCGUUGAUGACCGAAA